rnacentral:lncRNA from 1 species
GCCCUGUGUCUCCUGCCAGCACUGAGAACACUGGCAUGCUGGCUCCUCACUCACAAGUAGGGGGAAUCUCAGACAUUCCACAGUUCUCAACAGGACCUGAAUGCUGGAAAUCUAAAUGCACGUGGGCAAGGAGCAAGUGUGGGAGCCUAGGGAACAAGGUGAAGGGAAUGGGUUCCAGAAUCCAGCUGUGGGACAUGAGUUUUCCAGCACCUGAAUCCUGGCAGAAAACCUCGUUCUGAAGAGAGUCGCAUCGGGCAGGUUGGUUUAUCUUUCUGUACGUUGCAGGCAAAAGAGAGAUGAUUCAACCUGAGAGGCAGCUGUUCUUCAAAAGGAGUUAACGGGUAAGCCAGAGGCCAAACUUUCCGUGAAAAUUAUACGUUCAGGGCCCUGUCUCUGCGCUGUCUGUCCCUUUGUUCUGACUUGUUCAUCUGCAGCACAGUGAUACAUGGCAGAGGUCAGAUGGCCAGGCCAGCAGAUGCCUCUCUCCAGCUUUGGUUGGCCUUGGGUGAAUAAGCUUAGCUGGAGAAGUCAGGUCAGACUAAGACGGAGUGAAGUUGCAUUAUUAAGAAUGCUAAAGUGGUCACCCCAGUAGGAGACUGAGUUUUAGGUUACUGGGGAAAGCAGAAUCAUCUUUGAGUCUAAACAACCUGAUAACUCUCAGCUUCUCUUUAGCUGAGCCAUGUCAACACAGACAAUCCAGUCCACAGCCUGAAUGACCCUAGGAUGGCAUAGAGGCUGCCACUAACAUAAGUUAAUUGAGCCUUUGCUUUGUGCUCAGUAUGGCACUCUGUACUGAGUAGGGAUAAAAAGAAAAGUGUAAUUAAGUCCUCAUUUUAUUAAAAAAAAAUAUUUGUAUUUAUUUAUUUGGCUGUGCCAGGUCUUAGCAGCAGCAUGUGGGAUCUAGUUCUCUGACUAGGGAUCAAACCCAGGCCACCUGCAUUGGGAGCACGGCGUCUUAGCCCUGCAGCACCAGGGAAGUUCCCCUUGCUUUCUUUUAAUUCUCCUUUGCAGAGUACAGCCAAGUAACUUAGGCUAGCUCCAAAGAGACUUGCUUUUAUAAGGAGACUGGGGGCUCUUCUGGGCUCCUCCCCUGUAGGUGGCCUUACCGUCUUUCACAACAGCUUUCAAGGUCAGUGUCAACAAGCAUAUAAACUGUUAGCUGAAGCUGUUAGAGGAGGGAGGAGAGAGAAUGCUGUGUCUCUAUAGAGAGGAGAUCCAUUUCUUCUGUGGCUGACUCUU